ACAAUGGUGUCUUUAGACACCAUCCUCUCUUUUGAAAAUUUUAUC
rfam:Picea glauca, whole genome shotgun sequence.